CAUUUUACCCCCUUAGGGGUUGAGUUUCGUAAAAUCCGUUCUUAGCGGAUGUCUACGUCCUAUAAGGAGCCUACUUGCCAAAUUUCAAGUUUGUAGGUGUUAUAGUUUCGGAGAUUUCGUGAUGAAUGACCUUUCGCGUUUAUACAUAUAAACUGAAUCUCAAAAACGGCUCCAACGGUUUUCAUGAAAUUUAGUAUUUUGGAAGUGCGGAGGAACAUGGUGUGAAGAAUCACCUCCGCCAUCGAAAAGGGAGGAUCCUCCGACCAGACGG
rnacentral:misc_RNA from 1 species